UUUGUACUCCCUUCGUCCCAAAAUUCUUGUCUUAAAUUUGUCUAAAUACGGAUGUAUCUAGUUACAUUUUAGUGUUAGAUACAUCCGUAUCUAAACAAAUGUAAGACAAGAAUUUUGGGACGGAGGGAAUACUCC
rfam:Triticum aestivum genome assembly, contig: Triticum_aestivum_CS42_TGACv1_scaffold_223234_3B